rnacentral:rRNA from 1 species
CAGUCGCCACGGUAAUACGAAGGGGGCUAGCGUUGCUCGGAAUGACUGGGCGUAAAGGGCGCGUAGGCGGCGGCCAAAGUCAGGCGUGAAAUUCCUGGGCUCAACCUUGGGGCUGCGCUUGAUACUUGGUUGCUUGAGUGGGGAAGAGGGUUGUGGAAUUCCCAGUGUAGAGGUGAAAUUCGUAGAUAUUGGGAAGAACACCGGUGGCGAAGGCGGCGACCUGGUCCUUGACUGACGCUGAGGCGCGAAAGCGUGGGGAGCAAACAGGAUUAGAUACCCCCGUAGUCCCUGUCUCUUAUAC